rnacentral:rRNA from 1 species
CGGAGGAAAAGAAACUAACAAGGAUUCCCCUAGUAGCGGCGAGCGAAGCGGGAAGAGCCCAAUAUGAAAAGCCUGCUUGCAGGCCUUGUAUUUUGGAAGUCUUUGAGGUGUCAGUGCGCGUAAGUUGUAUGAAAGUACACGCCGUGGAGGGUGAAAGCCCCGUCCAGCGCGCACAGGGCACUUCGUACGAGGACUUUCCUAACGAGUCGGGUAGCUUGGGAAUGCUGCUCUAAUUGRUGGUAAAUCUCAUCAAAGGCUAAAUAUUGACCGGAGACCGAUAGCGAACAAGUACCGUGAGGGAAAGAUGACAAGCACUUUGAAAAGAGGGUGAAAAGAGCCUGAAACCGUCAUGGGGGAAGCGGAUUGCGUUGGAUUGGUUGGUUGCUGUGUGUUCAGCCAUAUUGGUGCAUUGACACAGUAGCUUAUCUGCCGUGGGUUCUGAGCCGUUGAAAACGGACGGCUUGGGGCUGAGGGCUCCCUGCAAAGGUGAGGACGGUAGAGUGACGACGCGAUACGACCCGUCUUGAAACACGGACCAAGGAGUCUAGCGCGGGUGCGAGUCGAAGGGUGCAAGCCYGAGGGCAAAGUGAAAGCGAGUGUAAAAACUAGCAGUUUGGGGCGGCAUAAGAUCGUUGAUCUUAAGACCGACCUUGAGCAGUUGCGCUGGGACCCGAAAGAUGGUGAACUAUGCUGGAGUAGGGCAAAGCCAGAGGAAACUCUGGUGGAGGCUCGUAGCGGUGCUGACGUGCAAAUCGCUCGUCGAACUUGAGUAUAGGGGCGAAAGACUAAUCGAACCAUCUAGUAGCUGGUUCCCUCCGAAGUUUCUCUCAGGAUAGCGGGCCGACAUGUGUUGUUUUGUGCGGUAAAGCGAAUGAUUAGCGCACUCGGGGGCAAUUUGUCUUCGGGCGAUUCUCAAACUUUCAAUGCGCAAGGGUGCCGCUGCUUUGUUGAGCGGCACCGGCAAAAACGUCGGCCCUGUGGGCCACUUUUGGUAAGCAGAACUGGCGAUACGGGAUGAACCGUAAGCAUGGUUAAGGCGCCAAACUUCCCGCUUAGAGAUCCCACAAAAGGUGUUGAUUCAUCGAGACAGCAGGACGGUGGCCAUGGAAGUCGGAAUCCGCCAAGGAGUGUGUAACAACUCACCUGCCGAAUGAAUUAGCCCUGAAAAUGGAUGGCGCUUAAGCGGGAGGCCGACACCAUGCCGUCUGGUAAAGAUUUACGAUCAGAUGAGUAGGAGGGCGUGGUGAUUGUGUCGAAGGGUGUGUGCAGACACGCCUGGAACGGUCACUAGUGCAGAUCUUGGUGGUAGUAGCAAGUAUUCAAGCGAGAUCCUUGAAGGGCGAAGCGGGGAAGGGUUCCACGCGAACAUUGAUUGGGCGUGGGUGAGUCGUUCCUAAGCCGAGUGGCGAUUGCUAAGUAGCGGCGAAAGGGAAGCAGGUUGACAUUCCUGCACACGGAUGUGGAGGCGGUGACGCAUAUUGGGACGAACACGCUGGCGAUGGCGCUGGGCAGAGUUGUCUUUUCUGUUUGACCUAGCGCGCGCGGUGUGGAAUCCGCUUGUCGGGAGAAACACGCGUGUCGGGGCAGAGCGCCGGGGCUUUUCCGGCGUCCAGCUCGCCAUCGACGGCCCUUGAAACUUUGUCUGCUGAAUGAAUCCACGCCGUGGCGUACCGAUCACCGCAUCAGGUCCCCAAGGUGAACAGCCUCUGCUCUAUAUGAACAAUGCAGGUAAGGGAAGUCGGCAAAUUAGACCCGUAACUUUGGGAUAAGGGUUGGCUCUAGUGCUGCGUGGGAGUGGUUGCCCACGGUUGGGGUCGUUGGUAAGGCGGCUUGGCGCGGGACCYCUCGGGGACUUGUUCCGGCUGCUCAACUGGCUAUUCUGUCUUGGGCGACGCCCACGGCAUGCAGCAGACUAGAACUGCAACGGGCAAAGGGAAUCCGACUGUUUAAUUAAAACAAAGCAUUGCGAGGGCCGUGGCCGGUGAUGACGCAAU